UUCCGGUUGAUCCUGCCGGAGGCUACUGCUAUCGGGGUUCGAUUAAGCCAUGCAAGUUAAAUGUUCUUCGUGAACAUAGCGAACUGCUCAGUAACACGUGGAUAACCUACCCUUGGGACCGGAAUAACCCCGGGAAACUGGGGAUAAUACCGGAUAAAUCAUAGAUGCUGGAAUGCCCUAUGGUUCAAAGCUCCGGCGCCUAGGGAUGGAUCUGCGGUCUAUCAGGUUGUAGUGGGUGUAACGUACCUACUAGCCAACGACGGAUACGGGUUGUGAGAGCAAGAGCCCGGAGAUGGAUUCUGAGACACGAAUCCAGGCCCUACGGGGUGCAGCAGGCGCGAACACUUUACAAUGCGGGAAACCGCGAUAAGGGAACCCCGAGUGCCAGCAUCAAAUGUUGGCUGUCCGGAUGAUUAAAAAUCAUUUGUUAGCAAGGGCCGGGCAAGACCGGUGCCAGCCGCCGCGGUAACACCGGCGGCCCGAGUGGUAGCCGUUUUUAUUGGGUCUAAAGGGUCCGUAGCCGGCCUGAUAAGUCCUUUGGGAAAUCUGGCAGCUUAACUGUCAGGCUUCUAAGGGAUACUGUCAGGCUUGGGACCGGAAGAGGUAAGGGGUACUCCAGGGGUAGGAGUGAAAUCUUGUAAUCCCUGGGGGACCAUCUGUGGCGAAGGCGCCUUACCAGAACGGGUCCGACGGUGAGGGACGAAAGCUAGGGGAGCAAACCGGAUUAGAUACCCGGGUAGUCCUAGCUGUAAACGAUGCUCGCUAGGUGUCAGACACGGUGCGACCGUGUUUGGUGCCGCAGGGAAGCCGUUAAGCGAGCCACCUGGGAAGUACGGUCGCAAGGCUGAAACUUAAAGGAAUUGGCGGGGGAGCACUACAAUGGGUGGAGCCUGCGGUUUAAUUGGAUUCAACGCCGGA
rnacentral:rRNA from 1 species